UGGGGCGGUUGCCUCCCAAAAUGUAACGGAGGCGCCCCAAAGGUUCCCUCAGCCUGGUUGGCAAUCAGGUGUCGAGUGCAAGUGCACGAAGGGUAGCUUGACUGUGAGAGUGGCAGCUCGAGCAGGGACGAAGUCGGGACUAGUGAUCCGGCGGCUCGUUGUGGAACGGCCGUCGCUACAACGGAAGUAAAGGUACCUCGGGGAUAACAGGCUGAUCUUGCCCAAGAGUCCAUAUCGACGGCAUGGUUUGGCACCUCGAUGUCGGCUCGUCGCAUCCUGGGGCUGGAGUAGGUCCCAAGGGUUGGGCUGUUCGCCCAUUAAAGCGGUACGCGAGCUGGGUUCAGAACGUCGUGAGACAGUUCGGUCCCUAUCCUCUGCGCGCGUUGGAAAUUUGAGAAGGUCUGUCCUUAGUACGAGAGGACCGGGACGGACGAACCUCUGGUAUGUCAGUUGUACCGCCAGGUGCAUGGCUGAUUAGCUACGUUU
rnacentral:rRNA from 1 species